rnacentral:rRNA from 1 species
GAUGAACGCUGGCGGCGUGCCUAAUACAUGCAAGUCGAGCGAACAGACGAGGAGCUUGCUCCUCUGACGUUAGCGGCGGACGGGUGAGUAACACGUGGAUAACCUACCUAUAAGACUGGGAUAACUUCGGGAAACCGGAGCUAAUACCGGAUAAUAUAUUGAACCGCAUGGUUCAAUAGUGAAAGACGGUUUUGCUGUCACUUAUAGAUGGAUCCGCGCCGCAUUAGCUAGUUGGUAAGGUCACGGCUUACCAAGGCAACGAUGCGUAGCCGACCUGAGAGGGUGAUCGGCCACACUGGAACUGAGACACGGUCCAGACUCCUACGGGAGGCAGCGGUAGGGAAUCUUCCGCAAUGGGCGAAAGCCUGACGGAGCAACGCCGCGUGAGUGAUGAAAGUCUUCGGAUCGUAAAACUCUGUUAUUAGGGAAGAACAAAUGUGUAAGUAACUAUGCACGGCUUGACGGUACCUAAUCAGAAAGCCACGGCUAACUACGUG